AACAUGCGGGAAGGAUCAUUAACGAGUUUUGAAACGGGUUGUAGCUGGCCUUCCGAGGCAUGUGCACGCCCUGCUCAUCCACUCUUACCCCUGUGCACUUACUGUAGGCUUCAGGCGCGCCGCGGCUUUCAACGCCGUGACGUUACUGGGUCUACGUUUUACUACCAACUACAAAGUAUCAGAAUGUGUAUUGCGAUGUAACGCAUCUAUAUACAACUUUCAGCAACGGAUCUCUUGGCUCUCGCAUCGAUGAAGAACGCAGCGAAAUGCGAUAAGUAAUGUGAAUUGCAGAAUUCAGUGAAUCAUCGAAUCUUUGAACGCACCUUGCGCUCCUUGGUAUUCCGAGGAGCAUGCCUGUUUGAGUGUCAUGAAAUUCUCAACCUACAAAUCUUUGCGGGUUUGUAGGCUUGGACUUGGAGGUUUUUGUUGGCUUCUCGCAAGUCGGCUCCUCUCAAAUGCAUUAGCCUGUUUCCUUGCGGAUCGGCUCUCGGUGUGAUAAUUAUCUGCGCCGCGACCGUGAAGCGUUUGGCUGGCUUCUAAUCGUCUCCGCUCAAGAGACAGCUUCUUAUGACCUCUGACCUCAAAUCAGGUAGGACUACCCGCUGAACUUAAGCAUAUCAAAAACCGGAAAGGAA
rnacentral:rRNA from 1 species